AUUGAACGCUGGCGGCAUGCCUUACACAUGCAAGUCGAACGGCAGCACGGGAGCAAUCCUGGUGGCGAGUGGCGAACGGGUGAGUAAAGUAUCGGAACGUGCCCAGUCGUGGGGGAUAACGUAGCGAAAGUUACGCUAAUACCGCAUACGAUCUAUGGAUGAAAGCGGGGGAUCGCAAGACCUCGCGCGAUUGGAGCGGCCGAUAUCAGAUUAGGUAGUUGGUGGGGUAAAGGCUCACCAAGCCGACGAUCUGUAGCUGGCCUGAGAGGACGACCAGCCACACUGGGACUGAGACACGGCCCAGACUCCUACGGGAGGCAGCAGGGGGGAAUUUUGGACAAUGGGCGAAAGCCUGAUCCAGCCAUGCCGCGUGCAGGAUGAAGGCCUUCGGGUUGUAAACUGCUUUUGUACGGAACGAAAAGGUUUGGCCUAACAAGCUGAGCUCAUGACGGUACCGUAAGAAUAAGCACCGGCUAACUACGUGCCAGCCGCCGCAGUAAAAC
rnacentral:rRNA from 1 species